CCCAGACUCCUACGGGAGGCAGCAGUGGGGGAUAUUGCACAAUGGGGGGAACCCUGAUGCAGCGACGCCGCGUGGGUGAAGGAGCGUUUCGGCGCGUAAAGCCCUAUCGGCAGGGAAGAAGGAGGACGGUACCUGACUAAGAAGCCCCGGCUAACUACGUGCCAGCAGCCGCGGUAAUACGUAGGGGGCAAGCGUUAUCCGGAUUUACUGGGUGUAAAGGGGGCGCAGACGGCAGCGCAAGCCAGGAGUGAAAGCCCGGGGCCCAACCCCGGGACUGCUCUUGGAACUGCGCGGCUGGAGUGCAGGAGGGGCAGGCGGAAUUCCUGGUGUAGCGGUGAAAUGCGUAGAUAUCAGGAGGAACACCGGUGGCGAAGGCGGCCUGCUGGACUGCGACUGACGUUGAGGCCCGAAAGCGUGGGGAGCAAACAGGAUUAGAUACCCUAGUACG
rnacentral:rRNA from 1 species